rnacentral:lncRNA from 1 species
UGGGAGGUACUUUUUCAUUAUUGGGGACAAGAAGAUGUCUAGGUAUAUAUUUUUUAAUUACCUUUGUGAUUAGUUUCUUUUCAUAUAAUGAAAAUAUAUUAUAUUUUUAAUUACAUUAAUAACUCUUGUAGGCACAGUGUGCAUAAAACAAAAAUAACAGGAAGAUGUUGGGAGGUUUGCAUAAGACAGGAAGAAUUUUAUUUUUUAUUAUUAGAGCAAAUGUAUAUUAACAAUAUUAUAAGUUUAUAUUAAAUAUAACUCUAGUGCAAAUUCUUAUAUAUAUUUGGGUUA